rnacentral:rRNA from 1 species
UACGUAGGCAGCGAGCGUUGUUCGGAGUUACUGGGCGUAAAGGGUGUGUAGGCGGUUUUCUAAGUUUGCUGUGAAAUCUCCCGGCUUAACCGGGAGGGUGCGGUGAAUACUGAGGGACUAGAGUACGGGAGAGGAAAGUGGAAUUCCUGGUGUAGCGGUGAAAUGCGUAGAUAUCAGGAGGAACACCGGUGGUGUAGACGGCUUUCUGGACCGUAACUGACGCUGAGACACGAAAGCGUGGGUAGCAAACAGG